GUGUAGCUCAGUGGUGGAGUGCUUGCCUAGUAUGCAGGAAGUCCUGGGUUUAAUCCCCAGCAC
rnacentral:tRNA from 1 species